rnacentral:rRNA from 1 species
UGGGGAAUUUUGCGCAAUGGGCGCAAGCCUGACGCAGCAACGCCGCGUGAGUGAAGACGCCUUUCGGGGUGUAAAGCUCUGUCAGUGGGGACGAAGGUCUGGUGAUGAACAGUUGUCAGGCGUGACGGUACCUGCGAAGGAAGCCCCGGCUAACUCCGUGCCAGCAGCCGCGGUAAGACGGAGGGGGCGAGCGUUGUUCGGAAUUACUGGGCGUAAAGCGCACGCAGGCGGCGUGCCAAGUGCGAAGUGAAAGCCCUCGGCUGAACCGGGGAAGGGCUUCGCAGACUGGUAGGCUAGAGUGUCGGAGGGGGAGGCGGAAUUCCUGGUGGAGCGGUGAAAUGCGUAGAGAUCAGGAAGAACGUCGGUGGCGAAGGCGGCCUCCUGGACGAACACUGACGCUGAGGUGCGACAGCGUGGGGAGCGAACG